rnacentral:rRNA from 1 species
GAUGAACGCUGACAGAAUGCUUAACACAUGCAAGUCAACUUGAAUUUGGGUUUUUAACUUCGGUUUGGGUGGCGGACGGGUGAGUAACGCGUAAAGAACUUGCCUCACAGCUAGGGACAACAUUUGGAAACGAAUGCUAAUACCUAAUAUUAUGAUAAUAGGGCAUCCUAUAAUUAUGAAAGCUAUAAGCGCUGUGAGAGAGCUUUGCGUCCCAUUAGCUAGUUGGAGAGGUAACGGCUCACCAAGGCGAUGAUGGGUAGCCGGCCUGAGAGGGUGAUCGGCCACAAGGGGACUGAGACACGGCCCUUACUACUACGGGAGGCAGCAGUGGGGAAUAUUGGACAAUGGACCGAGAGUCUGAUCCAGCAAUUCUGUGUGCACGAUGAAGUUUUUCGGAAUGUAAAGUGCUUUCAGUUGGGAAGAAACAAAUGACGGUACCAACAGAAGAAGUGACGGCUAAAUACGUG